rnacentral:tRNA from 1 species
GGUGGAGUGUCCGAGUGGCCUAAGGAGCACGCCUGGAACGCGUGUAAGGUGUAACAGCCCCGUGGGUUCAAAUCCCACCUCCAUCG